UAUUCGUAACAAGGUUUCCGUAGGUGAACCUGCGGAAGGAUCAUUA
rnacentral:rRNA from 1 species